rnacentral:rRNA from 1 species
UUCCGGUUGAUCCCGCCGGACCUGACUGCUAUCGGAUUGAUACUAAGCCAUGCGAGUCAUUGUAGCAAUACAAGGCAGACGGCUCAGUAACGCGUAGUCAACCUAACCUAUGGACGGGAAUAACCUCGGGAAACUGAGAAUAAUGCCCGAUAGAACAUUAUGCCUGGAAUGGUUUAUGUUCCAAAUGAUUUAUCGCCGUAGGAUGGGACUGCGGCCUAUCAGUUCGUUGGUGAGGUAAUGGCCCACCAAGACUAUUACAGGUACGGGCUCUGAGAGGAGUAGCCCGGAGAUGGGUACUGAGACACGGACCCAGGCCCUAUGGGGCGCAGCAGGCGAGAAAACUUUGCAAUGUGCGAAAGCACGACAAGGUUAAUCCGAGUGGUUUCUGCUAAAGGAACCUUUUGUCAGUCCUAGAAACACUGAUGAAUAAGGGGUGGGCAAGUUCUGGUGUCAGCCGCCGCGGUAAAACCAGCACCUCAAGUGGUCAGGAUGAUUAUUGGGCCUAAAGCAUCCGUAGCCUGUUCCGUAAGUUUUCGGUUAAUCUGUACGCUCACGUACAG